CUGAACCUCCAAGACUUAUUUCUCAACAACCCAGAGCUCUUGGAGGUCUCCCAUCAAAACGCUAAGCAGGCCCUGCUGCUGCGUGCCUGUGAGACCUCACAAGCGCAGGACAAGGAGGAUGCUGUGCUGUUCAGGGCACUCAAUUUGGAGAAAGAGCCUCCUGGAUUUCCAGCAGGGUGAUGCUGGAUGUGUCCUGCUUCACAUCUCACCCAUAGGUACCAAACACCUCCAUCCCUCUCCCUAAGGCAAAACAACGGCUCCAGCAGCAGGCAGAGGAUAGCACCAGGCAGCAGAGAGCAGCC
rnacentral:lncRNA from 1 species